CUACGGGCGGCACCAGUGGGGAAUUUUGGACAAUGGGGGCAACCCUGAUCCAGCCAUGCCGCGUGAGUGAAGAAGGCCUUCGGGUUGUAAAGCUCUUUCGGCCGGGAAGAAAUCGUAUGGGUUAAUACCCUGUGCGGAUGACGGUACCGGCAUAAGAAGCACCGGCGAACUACGUGCCAGCAGCCGCGGUAAUACGUAGGGUGCGAGCGUUAAUCGGAAUUACUGGGCGUAAAGCGUGCGCAGGCGGUUUUGUAAGACAGGCGUGAAAUCCCCGGGCUCAACCUGGGAACUGCGCUUGUGACUGCAAGGCUAGAGUAUGGCAGAGGGGGGUGGAAUUCCACGUGUAGCAGUGAAAUGCGUAGAGAUGUGGAGGAACACCAAUGGCGAAGGCAGCCCCCUGGGCCAAUACUGACGCUCAUGCACGAAAGCGUGGGUAGCAAACAGGAUUAGAUACCCCGGUAGUC
rnacentral:rRNA from 1 species